rnacentral:rRNA from 1 species
UGGGGAAUAUUGCACAAUGGGCGCAAGCCUGAUGCAGCCAUGCCGCGUGUAUGAAGAAGGCCUUCGGGUUGUAAAGUACUUUCAGCGGGGAGGAAGGUGUUGUGGUUAAUAACCACAGCAAUUGACGUUACCCGCAGAAGAAGCACCGGCUAACUCCGUGCCAGCAGCCGCGGUAAUACGGAGGGUGCAAGCGUUAAUCGGAAUUACUGGGCGUAAAGCGCACGCAGGCGGUCUGUCAAGUCGGAUGUGAAAUCCCCGGGCUCAACCGGGGAACUGCAUCCGAAACUGGCAGGCUUGAGUCUUGUAGAGGGGGGUAGAAUUCCAGGUGUAGCGGUGAAAUGCGUAGAGAUCUGGAGGAAUACCGGUGGCGAAGGCGGCCCCCUGGACAAAGACUGACGCUCAGGUGCGAAAGCGUGGGGAGCAAACA